rnacentral:rRNA from 13 species
UUUGGUUAAGUUAGAAAGGGCGCACGGUGGAUGCCUUGACACUAGGAGUCGAUGAAGGACGGGACUAACGCCGAUAUGCUUCGGGGAGCUGUAAGUAAGCUUUGAUCCGAAGAUUUCCGAAUGGGGAAACCCACCAUACGUAAUGGUAUGGUAUCCUUAUCUGAAUACAUAGGGUAAGGAAGACAGACCCAGGGAACUGAAACAUCUAAGUACCUGGAGGAAGAGAAAGCAAAUGCGAUUUCCUGAGUAGCGGCGAGCGAAACGGAACAUAGCCCAAACCAAGAGGCUUGCCUCUUGGGGUUGUAGGACAUUCUAUACGGAGUUACAAAGGAACGAGGUAGACGAAGCGACCUGGAAAGGUCCGUCGUAGAGGGUAACAACCCCGUAGUCGAAACUUCGUUCUCUCUUGAAUGUAUCCUGAGUACGGCGGAACACGUGAAAUUCCGUCGGAAUCUGGGAGGACCAUCUCCCAAGGCUAAAUACUCCCUAGUGAUCGAUAGUGAACCAGUACCGUGAGGGAAAGGUGAAAAGCACCCCGGAAGGGGAGUGAAAGAGAUCCUGAAACCGUGUGCCUACAAAUAGUCAGAGCCCGUUAACGGGUGAUGGCGUGCCUUUUGUAGAAUGAACCGGCGAGUUACGAUCCCGUGCGAGGUUAAGCUGAAGAGGCGGAGCCGCAGCGAAAGCGAGUCUGAAUAGGGCGUUUAGUACGUGGUCGUAGACCCGAAACCAGGUGAUCUACCCAUGUCCAGGGUGAAGUUCAGGUAACACUGAAUGGAGGCCCGAACCCACGCACGUUGAAAAGUGCGGGGAUGAGGUGUGGGUAGCGGAGAAAUUCCAAUCGAACCUGGAGAUAGCUGGUUCUCCCCGAAAUAGCUUUAGGGCUAGCCUUAAGUGUAAGAGUCUUGGAGGUAGAGCACUGAUUGGACUAGGGGUCCUCAUCGGAUUACCGAAUUCAGUCAAACUCCGAAUGCCAAUGACUUAUCCUUAGGAGUCAGACUGCGAGUGAUAAGAUCCGUAGUCAAAAGGGAAACAGCCCAGACCGCCAGCUAAGGUCCCAAAGUGUGUAUUAAGUGGAAAAGGAUGUGGAGUUGCUUAGACAACUAGGAUGUUGGCUUAGAAGCAGCCACCAUUUAAAGAGUGCGUAAUAGCUCACUAGUCGAGUGACUCUGCGCCGAAAAUGUACCGGGGCUAAAUACACCACCGAAGCUGCGGAUUGAUACCAAUGGUAUCAGUGGUAGGGGAGCGUUCUAAGGACAGUGAAGUCAGACCGGAAGGACUGGUGGAGUGCUUAGAAGUGAGAAUGCCGGUAUGAGUAGCGAAAGACGGGUGAGAAUCCCGUCCACCGAAUGCCUAAGGUUUCCUGAGGAAGGCUCGUCCGCUCAGGGUUAGUCAGGACCUAAGCCGAGGCCGACAGGCGUAGGCGAUGGACAACAGGUUGAUAUUCCUGUACCACCUCUUUAUCGUUUGAGCAAUGGAGGGACGCAGAAGGAUAGAAGAAGCGUGCGAUUGGUUGUGCACGUCCAAGCAGUUAGGCUGAUAAGUAGGCAAAUCCGCUUAUCGUAAAGGCUGAGCUGUGAUGGGGAAGCUCCUUAUGGAGCGAAGUCUUUGAUUCCCCGCUGCCAAGAAAAGCUUCUAGCGAGAUAAAAGGUGCCUGUACCGCAAACCGACACAGGUAGGCGAGGAGAGAAUCCUAAGGUGUGCGAGAGAACUCUGGUUAAGGAACUCGGCAAAAUGACCCCGUAACUUCGGGAGAAGGGGUGCUUUCUUAACGGAAAGCCGCAGUGAAUAGGCCCAAGCGACUGUUUAGCAAAAACACAGCUCUCUGCGAAGCCGUAAGGCGAAGUAUAGGGGGUGACACCUGCCCGGUGCUGGAAGGUUAAGGAGAGGGGUUAGCGUAAGCGAAGCUCUGAACUGAAGCCCCAGUAAACGGCGGCCGUAACUAUAACGGUCCUAAGGUAGCGAAAUUCCUUGUCGGGUAAGUUCCGACCCGCACGAAAGGUGUAACGAUUUGGGCACUGUCUCAACCAGAGACUCGGUGAAAUUAUAGUACCUGUGAAGAUGCAGGUUACCCGCGACAGGACGGAAAGACCCCGUGGAGCUUUACUGUAGCCUGAUAUUGAAUUUUGGUACAGUUUGUACAGGAUAGGCGGGAGCCAUUGAAACCGGAGCGCUAGCUUCGGUGGAGGCGCUGGUGGGAUACCGCCCUGACUGUAUUGAAAUUCUAACCUACGGGUCUUAUCGACCCGGGAGACAGUGUCAGGUGGGCAGUUUGACUGGGGCGGUCGCCUCCUAAAGUGUAACGGAGGCGCCCAAAGGUUCCCUCAGAAUGGUUGGAAAUCAUUCGUAGAGUGCAAAGGCAUAAGGGAGCUUGACUGCGAGACCUACAAGUCGAGCAGGGACGAAAGUCGGGCUUAGUGAUCCGGUGGUUCCGCAUGGAAGGGCCAUCGCUCAACGGAUAAAAGCUACCCCGGGGAUAACAGGCUUAUCUCCCCCAAGAGUCCACAUCGACGGGGAGGUUUGGCACCUCGAUGUCGGCUCAUCGCAUCCUGGGGCUGUAGUCGGUCCCAAGGGUUGGGCUGUUCGCCCAUUAAAGCGGUACGCGAGCUGGGUUCAGAACGUCGUGAGACAGUUCGGUCCCUAUCCGUCGUGGGCGUAGGAAAUUUGAGAGGAGCUGUCCUUAGUACGAGAGGACCGGGAUGGACGCACCGCUGGUGUACCAGUUGUUCUGCCAAGGGCAUAGCUGGGUAGCUAUGUGCGGAAGGGAUAAGUGCUGAAAGCAUCUAAGCAUGAAGCCCCCCUCAAGAUGAGAUUUCCCAUAGCGUAAGCUAGUAAGAUCCCUGAAAGAUGAUCAGGUUGAUAGGUUCGAGGUGGAAGCAUGGUGACAUGUGGAGCUGACGAAUACUAAUAGAUCGAGGACUUAACCAUAUAA